rnacentral:rRNA from 1 species
AUACGUUGGGGGCAAGCGUUGUCCGGAUUUAUUGGGCGUAAAGGGUUCGCAGGCGGCCUUUUAAGUCAGAUGUGAAAGACUACAGCUCAACUGUGGUAAGCAUUUGAAACUGAAAGGCUUGAGUUAAGGAGAGGAAAGUGGAAUUCCUAGUGUAGCGGUGAAAUGCGUAGAUAUUAGGAGGAAUACCAGUGGCGAAGGCGACUUUCUGGACUUAUACUGACGCUGAGGAACGAAAGCGUGGGGAGCAAACAGGAUUAGAUACCCUGGUAGUCCACGCCGUAAACGAUGAGUGCUAGGUGUUGGGGGUCAAACCUCGGUGCCGCAGCUAACGCGUUAAGCACUCCGCCUGGGGAGUACGUACGCAAGUAUGAA